GAUGAACGCUGGCGGCGUGCCUAAUACAUGCAAGUCGAGCGAACGGACGAGAAGCUUGCUUUUCUGAUGUUAGCGGCGGACGGGUGAGUAACACGUGGAUAACCUACCUAUAAGACUGGGAUAACUUCGGGAAACCGGAGCUAAUACCGGAUAAUAUUUUGAACCGCAUGGUUCAAAAGUGAAAGACGGUCUUGCUGUCACUUAUAGAUGGAUCCGCGCUGCAUUAGCUAGUUGGUAAGGUAACGGCUUACCAAGGCAACGAUGCAUAGCCGACCUGAGAGGGUGAUCGGCCACACUGGAACUGAGACACGGUCCAGACUCCUACGGGAGGCAGCAGUAGGGAAUCUUCCGCAAUGGGCGAAAGCCUGACGGAGCAACGCCGCGUGAGUGAUGAAGGUCUUCGGAUCGUAAAACUCUGUUAUUAGGGAAGAACAUAUGUGUAAGUAACUGUGCACAUCUUGUCGGUACCUAAUCAGAAAGCCACGGCUAACUACGUG
rnacentral:rRNA from 1 species